UUCCUAUAGUUAAAUUGUAAUAACGGCAGUUUUUCAGGCUGUAGGUCUUGGGUAAGAUCCAAGUAGGAAUU
rnacentral:tRNA from 1 species